rnacentral:lncRNA from 1 species
UCUCAUCUUCAAUCCACCAAAGCUUAAGGUAAGUUGGUUUCUUUAAGAACNNNNNNNNNNNNNNNNNNNNNNNCUAUAGAUAUACUUAGCUAAAUGUUUUCUUGAAGGAAAAAGUAUUGUUCUUGGAGAAUAAAGAAGGGCAGGGGCUGCUUUUCUUUGAUAUAUAGGUAUGAAUCCUCUUCUAUCUUCAUAAAUAGUAUUCCAAGGAUGCUUUAAGUAUAAUUUGCGGGUAGGACUCACAGGACGGCGAUAGGAAGCCGUGAGUCCAUUUUUACCCAUUGUAUUUGAUGUUUUGGUGAGGAGGGAGUUUGUAGAAGGUUGUGUUGGCUGUUGUUUUGACCAAAUGAGGGGUCAAUGGUAUUGUAUUGGGAAAGUAAGUUGGUUACAUUAAAACGGAAGGCNNNNNNNNNNNNNNNNCUUGAAAGUUUAUCGCUCACCAAGUGUUUGAUGAAAUUUCUAAGUUGCUAAGAAUAUGUUGUAGCUGGUUAUAUGAGCUCCUAUUAUUUUAAUUUAUGGCAUUGGUUCUCUACCAACUUAAACUAUGAGCUUAUAAAAGAACUUGACAUCGUUAACAAGGAACCAGUGAGAUGAUGAUCAGAGGCCAUGGGUUUUACUUUUAUGCUAAGUGUGGAUGAUUAAGGGGGCUGGUUCUUUAUGGCUAAAGGAUGAGGAGUAAUACUGAACAUGUAAAUAAGUCAUAAGCCUACUUGGAAAGUAGAGAAAGAGAAGGGUGUGGUGAUACACCAUUCAUCUAUGGUAAUUGUUGAGAUGGUCGCUCGCGAACCAUUAUUGUAUUUUUGGCAUUGUUGUGACUCUUGAUUAGUUUCUUAUACUAUCCUUUUAUGAUUUUAUGUUAUAGAUAAAGUUGUCAGCAAAGGAGUUUGACAGCGUAAGAUAGUAAGUCCCGAAUUAAGGUAUGUAAAGCUAAAACCUCUUUUGCCCUUAAGGCACGACCUAAACUCGCAUAUUCUUCUGAUAAAUGUCACUAUAGAUUCUAUGAUACUUGAAAGAAAGUUAUCCUAUUUUAUAAACCCUCUCAUGUUGAGUCCUAAACCUAUAGAGUUAUAGUACUCUUCAAGGAAGAAAUAUGUUUCACACAACUACAUUUGUCUACACUUGGAACUCUUACAAGUUAGUGGUGUACAUGUUGCAUAAAUUUAAAUAAAGAAGCCAGCCACAGACUGUUCGUAAGUGCAUAGGUCACAAGAUAUAUGAUUAUCAAGCUAAAGAAUGUAAUUAGGAAUUGUAUCACGAGCUAUGUGAUUAAUGAAUUAAUUAUUAUAAAUAAUUGCAAGAAGUUGAGAUUAUAGACUACUCUGCAGCGUAGGGUGGGUAUAUUUAGGGCUACUACAUGCGACGCUACUCUGUGCACAGAAUUCAGAUAUAGUCAGCUGGAAUUUCCCGUCGUGGAUUCACCUGACUGAUACAGGCCUGCGGGCAGACCAUACAGGAGCCCUGGGGGGCGUAACUUGAUAGACCUCGUUACCAGACUAUGAUAUUUCACGCGUGGUCGUGACAGUGGGCUACAGAUGCCAUACAGGGUUCACUAAUCGCCGUCAGUAGGCCAUCAUGGGAUUCCCUGACAGUUAGCUUUACAAAGAGCAAAGAAGCGAUAUAAUGAAGUAAAGAUAUCACUUAGGCAAAUUAUAGGGAUUAUUUAUAUAUAAAUGACUAAACCAUGAAACGUUCGAUGAGGACCCUUGAGGUUGGUCACAAUUCCAGUUACGGAUUAUGUCUCCUGCAUACACAUGCUCAGAUUUGCCUAUCAUGAUAUUUGAUGUCUACUUGUUAUUCAUCUUGCUUUACAUACCGGUACAUGUUUUGUAUGUACUGACGUCCCUAUUAUUUUGGCGUUUCAUUUGUAUCACUACAGGCUCAGGUACUCAGGACAACAAGCAUUUUCAGUAGACUAAAGACUUCCAGUUUAGCAGUUGGUAAGCUCCACCUCUACCUAGAGCUAUCAGAUAUUUAGAGCCUAUAUUUUGCUACGUAUGUACAUAUAUCAGAAUGGGUAUGUCGGG